CACGGGUGAGUAACACGUAUCCAACCUGCCGUCUACUCUUGGCCAGCCUUCUGAAAGGAAGAUUAAUCCAGGAUGGCAUCAUGAGUUCACAUGUCCGCAUGAUUAAAGGUAUUUUCCGGUAGACGAUGGGGAUGCGUUCCAUUAGAUAGUAGGCGGGGUAACGGCCCACCUAGUCAACGAUGGAUAGGGGUUCUGAGAGGAAGGUCCCCCACAUUGGAACUGAGACACGGUCCAAACUCCUACGGGAGGCAGCAGUGAGGAAUAUUGGUCAAUGGGCGAUGGCCUGAACCAGCCAAGUAGCGUGAAGGAUGACUGCCCUAUGGGUUGUAAACUUCUUUUAUAAAGGAAUAAAGUCGGGUAUGCAUACCCGUUUGCAUGUACUUUAUGAAUAAGGAUCGGCUAACUCCGUGCCAGCAGCCGCGGUAAUACGGAGGAUCCGAGCGUUAUCCGGAUUUAUUGGGUUUAAAGGGAGCGUAGAUGGAUGUUUAAGUCAGUUGUGAAAGUUUGCGGCUCAACCGUAAAAUUGCAGUUGAUACUGGAUGUCUUGAGUGCAGUUGAGGCAGGCGGAAUUCGUGGUGUAGCGGUGAAAUGCUUAGAUAUCACGAAGAACUCCGAUUGCGAAGGCAGCCUGCUAAGCU
rnacentral:rRNA from 1 species